rnacentral:rRNA from 1 species
AUUGAACGCUGGCGGCAGGCCUAACACAUGCAAGUCGAGCGAGCGGCGGACGGGUGUGUAGUGUCUGGGAAACUGCCUGAGGGAGGGGGAUAACCACUGGAAAGGGUAUAUAAUACCGCAUACCAUGAGAUGCGCCCAGAGGGGAUUCGCUAGUAGGUGGGGUAAUGGCACACCUAGGCGACGAUCCCUAGCUGGUCUGAGAGGAUGACCAGCCACACUGGAACUGAGACACGGUCCAGACUCCUACGGGAGGCAGCAGUGGGGAAUAUUGCACAAUGGGCGCAAGCCUGAUGCAGCCAUGCCGCGUGUGUGAAGAAGGCCUUCGGGUUGUAAAGCACUUUCAGCGAGGAGGCGUUACUCGCAGAAGAAGCACCGGCUAACUCCGUGCCAGCAGCCGCGGUAAUUC